GUGUCAGCCGCCGCGGUAAAACCAGCACCUCAAGUGGUCAGGAUGAUUAUUGGGCCUAAAGCAUCCGUAGCCUGUUCUAUAAGUUUCCGGUUAAAUCCAUUAGCUCAACUAAUGGGCUGCCGAAAAUACUGUAGAACUAGGGAGUGGGAGAGGUAGACGGUACUCGGUAGGAAGGGGUAAAAUCCUUUGAUCUAUUGAUGACCACCUGUGGCGAAGGCGGUCUACCAGAACACGUUCGACGGUGAGGGAUGAAAGCUGGGGGAGCAAACCGGAUUAGAUACCCGGGUAGUCCCAGCUGUAAACGAUGCAGACUCGGUGAUGCCCUGGCUUGUGGCCAGUGCAGUGCCGCAGGGAAGCCGUUAAGUUUGCCGCCUGGGAAGUACGUACGCAAGUAUGAAACUUAAAGGAAUUGGCGGGGGAGCACCACAAGGGGUGAAGCCUGCGGUUCAAUUGGAGUCAACGCCAGAAAUCUUACCCGAAGAGACAGCAGAAUGAAGGUCAAGCUGGAGACUUUACCAGACAAGCUGAGAAGUGGUGCAUGGCCGUCGCCAGCUCGUGCCGUGAGAUGUCCUGUUAAGUCAGGUAACGAGCGAGAUCCCUGCCUCUAGUUGCCACCAUUACUCUCAGGAGUAGUGGGGCGAAUUAGCGGGACCGCCGUAGUUAAUACGGAGGAAGGAAGGGGCCACGGCAGGUCAGUAUGCCCUGAAACUUUGGGGCCACACGCGGGCUGCAAUGGUAGUGACAGUGGGUUCCGAAUCCGAAAGGUGGAGGUAAUCCUCAAACACUACCACAGUUAUGAUUGAGGGCUGUAACUCGUCCUCAUGAAUAUGGAAUCCCUAGUAACUGCGUGUCAUUAUCGCGCGGUGAAUACGUCCCUGCU
rnacentral:rRNA from 1 species